GCCCUGGUAGAUAUGGAGACCCUGACCAUGAUGUCAAGGGUCCACGUGGCCAGUACUGCGCAUGACAAGCUGGAUUCUAUCACAACUUUCCAGGUGCUGCAGCAGUUCACCAGAGCACGGAAGUGGCACAUCCGGGACUGAGAACUGGCAAGGCCAGAGGGCAGAAGCAAGUCACACAAGCCAGUGGCCCAAAAUCACGUCAUCUACCUCCGUUGCACUGAGCUAAAACCAUGCCCAGGAACUGGCGUCCCAAAUCUAAACAGUGAGGCUUGAGAAGCGGGCUGGAUUCCACGGUGCGCAAGUGUGCAGAGGACAUAAGCCGAGAAGAGGCCCUUGGAGAGGACAGAAAUAACAACAUCGUAGGCAGACAGUUGUGGGUUCUGCCAGUCACGCUUUCGCACAAGUCACAGCACUCAGCCUCAGUAAGCAGAGGAAAAUAACAGAAAACAAAGUUGGAAAGCAUGGCUGAGGAGAGGGAGAUAAACCGAGAUAAAUCGUGAAGAGUGGUUGAAAUAAGCUACCGACAGGCUUGACCCGCAGCAGGUGCCUGAUUCUGCUGGUUCCCAGUCCAGCCCCAGCUCAGGUGCACAAGGCGUCCGGGGGACUGCCAGCACUGCACAGCCCUUUCCAUACCUCCUGGAUGGUGACCUUUACCUCCGUUCCACCGUGGCCACCCAUACCCUGGGCCUUUGUCAUCUCUCGAAGGUUCCAACUGCACUCUGAAAUCCCACUCCCUGACUGCAGCUUCCAAAGCUGCCAGGAAACUGCCAGCUUCCAGGCCAGCCACUCAACAGCCUCCAAGACUCACUUUCCUCAUCUAUAAAAUGGGGUUUCUAAUAUCUGCUUUGCCCAGCACACAGAGCUGCUGGGAGAAUCAAAUAUGAUUAUGUAUAUGAAGAUACUUCACGAAUGAUGACAUUCUAGUAAGCUAGCAAAUAGUUGUCCCAGCCAUACCCACUGCCAAAUGGGCCACUCAGGAGAUCCAAGGAGAUCACUCUGCCGCGAAUGCUAUUUUAUUCAUAUCAUUCAGGACCUUCAUGGUGGAGGCUUGUUGACAUUGGCUUGUGGUUGAGAGGAGCUCCGGAGUCAAGCCGUCUGUGUCCAGAUCCCUGCCUCAAGUGCUACCAGCCAUGUGAGCUGAGUGCAUUAUAUAACUUCAGCAUGACUCAGCGUCCACUUCUGAAAGAUGGGAUGGACGAUGGUGACAGGGUCAUCCCAUUGGGUCAUUGUGAGCAUUCAACGAGAGGGCAUAGGACAGUGGCUGCAAAAUUCACCAGACUCAGAAAACUGCCCUGCCCCGUGACUUCCAUCUGCUCCUCUCCUGAUAAUUGUAAAAGCCAAUGAAGAUUGUGCUUCUUAACUACACAUCAGCCGGCUGAUUGUAAGUGUUGGGAAUAUAAUUAGGGGUACACGGCUCUGACCCUCACUCUUCGUAGGUUUAACAAGAUUGGACUUACGCAAUGGCAAGAAGGAAACCGAGAUUGAAAAUGACCAAUUUUGCUGGUUGAGAGGCGUCUUGUUUUCUGGAAGAAACUGAGAAUCUGCAGUUGUAGACUGGGAAUGCUAGAACCUCUGGAGUGGCAUCAACUCGAUCGGGGGCCAAAACCAUGAGAAAGCACCAAUAUUUUCCACCGUUUUUAACCAAACUCGGCUGUUGUUGGUCUAAAACCUGCCCUGGGUUUUGAGGGAGCGGUGCUUUUGUGAGCCCAGCUUGCCUUGAGUGCAUGGAUGGGAACCUGAAACCAGCCAGUCUUGCCUCCCACCCUCUCAACUUUUCCAGUAAAAAAUGUGACGGGCACUUUUUUUCCAGUAAAACUGUUCCCCCAGCAGGACAGCCUAUAUGCAGCUAGGUUCCUGGCAAAUGAGCAGGGAAUAAUAGCUGGCUAGAGGUGGGCGGGACUGAAAUACAGCUGUCCACCUCUCCGGAAAACAUCACCCAGGGUUCUCCCCAUCCCCAUCUGACCUUCCAGCCACUAAACAAAUAAAUAAGGCCUUAGAAGCUCCUAGAGUCAACCACAGCCUCAGCUUCUAAACCGAGGCUGUGAUUCUACGAAACUCACCUCACAUCUGUGUCAUCUUUGAAAGACUCCAAUGGCUGGAUUGGUUUGAUCCUAUUCCGAAGGGCUUAUAAAGAAGAAUCCAGCCG
rnacentral:lncRNA from 1 species